rnacentral:rRNA from 1 species
UACGUAGGGUGCAAGCGUUGUCCGGAAUUAUUGGGCGUAAAGAGCUUGUAGGCGGUUUGUCGCGUCUGCUGUGAAAUUUCGGGGCUCAACCCCCGAACUUGCAGUGGGUACGGGCAGACUAGAGUGUGGUAGGGGAGACUGGAAUUCCUGGUGUAGCGGUGGAAUACGCAGAUAUCAGGAGGAACACCGGUGGCGAAGGCGGGUCUCUGGGCCAUAACUGACGCUGAGAAGCGAAAAGCAUGGGGGAGCGAACAGG